GGAGUUUCAGCCCCCGGGAUCAGAACACAAAAAAAUCACUGAUGAAGUUGAAAAGGAACCAGGAAGACCCCUGUGCUGGGAGGAGAUUCUACUUGUGUUUUGAGAGCGUGGAGUGGGCCGAGUCUUCAGGUUCCAGAUGACAACAGUGAAUUACUACAAAUGCAGCAAAGGAAAAUGAAUGUUAAUAAUGAACGAGUGAUAGGAAAAAGGAAAACCACUGAAGCAGCUCCAAACUGGAAAGCCUGGUGAUGGACAUGUCAUCAAGGAUGAGAAGGGACCUUUGUCUGUAUAAAAGGAAACAGCAGACCUCACAGUGAUUACAGAUAGGAUUCUAGGGACCUGUCCUGCACCAAACGUCUUUGGGGCUAUGAUCUCCCUCAUUGAGAUAUUCAGAUGUGGUAGAGUGGAGUUGUGUAGAGAACAGCAUAAAAUGCUAAACUGGAGUAGGUGGGAACCUAGGCAGCUGGUAUGUAGAGAAAGAAAAUAUUGAAUAGUUUGCAUGCAGGUAGAUUCCCAUGAUGACUUUUAA
rnacentral:lncRNA from 1 species